rnacentral:tRNA from 2 species
UCCUCAGUAGCUCAAUUGGCAGAGCAUCCGGCUGUUAACCGGAGGGUUGCUGGUUCGAGUCCAGCCUGAGGAGCCA